rnacentral:rRNA from 1 species
UGCCGCGUGAAGGAUGACAGCGCUAUGCGUUGUAAACUUCUUUUGUACAGGAAGAAACACUUCUACGUGUAGAAGCUUGACGGUACUGUACGAAUAAGCAUCGGCUAACUCCGUGCCAGCAGCCGCGGUAAUACGGAGGAUGCAAGCGUUAUCCGGAUUUAUUGGGUUUAAAGGGUACGUAGGCGGAAAAUUAAGUCAGAAAGUGAAAUCCUGCAGCUUAACUGUAGAACUGUUAUUGAUACUGGUUUUCUUGAAUAUAGUUGAGGUAGGCGGAAUGUGUAAUGUAGCGGUGAAAUGCUUAGAUAUUACACAGAACACCGAUUGCGAAGGCAGCUUACUAAGCUAUGAUUGACGCUGAGGUACGAAAGCGUGGGGAGCGAACAGGAUUA